ensembl:lncRNA
GUUUUACCAAUUUGGCUGUUGGCUGGGAGUAGGAGUCAGCGGGAGGUGUCCGUCUUGACAGGGACUGUGGCACCUCAACGAGAGAAAAAGAAGAAACCUCCCGGGAGAGAAACCUUACUGAACCACAGAGGCUUUCAGAUCUCGGAGCAUCCUCUAUUGUUUUUACAGCUCCUCUGUGACUAAACGCUAUUUUCCAAUUACUAUACUUUAUUUUUUUUCAGUUGGGCUCCUCAUCCUUUCUUUGAAGCAACGUGACCGCAUAGUAAACUGUUUUUGAGGAGUGUUUGCUGUUUGAGGGGACAUCCCAGAGGAGAAGCCACUUAAUCUGGAGCAGGUCUCACUGCCCGAUGGUGGGGACAAAGACGAGGCUGGUGGCUCCCUGGCAGACAAAGCAGUGUUGUGGGGGAUUGUUCAGUCUGAAGAAGAGGAGCUCAGAGGAGACUUUAUCACUCUCUACAACACCUGAAAGGAGGCUGCGGUGAGGUGGAGGUCGGCCUCUUCUCCCAGGUUUCUGGCUCUGUACGUUGCAGGUCAUUUAUAUUUUCUACUCAGAAGCUAAAGGCUGGAAGCUGACUCAUUGUUAAUAGAAAGUAUAAAAGCCCGCUAGGAGCAACAUGAUUCCAGGAGCUCAGACUAUCAUGGGAACAUCAAAUGCACCUGGCAUCGUGAUAAGGCCAUCAGAAAUUAGCAACACCAAAGGUGCAUCCUGGGUGUCCUUCUAACACAGAUCAUAGCUGACAUAUAUCUGUCUGUACUGACAUCACCUGGAGCCUCAGCAGCAUACUUUGGAGGUGAGAAGAUGCUCAGAAUCAAGGACAGCUCUGUGCCUUCAUCCAUAACCCGCUGCUGAUCCCAGCCAGUUGGAGGUGCUGCGAUAGAUGGGCUAAGUCAGCCCUCACCAAUAAGGGUAAAGUAAGGGUGCUACAGCAUCAGGUAAGGGUGCUAUAGAUGAAAAGUUCACUAAGCAGAAAGCAUUGCUUCAACUUGCAACACCAGUGGUACUGGACAGAUUAAUAGGAACAGCC